rnacentral:tRNA from 1 species
GGGGUUCUGACUCAGUGUUAGAGCGCUCUCCUAGCAUAUGUGAGGUGCUGGGUUCAAUCCUCAGAACCACA